rnacentral:lncRNA from 1 species
GCCAGCACACACCAGCCAGCCUUGCCCUCUGGACCCUGUCCUGAGUGGUAUUCACUAUGUGCCCAGGCAAUAAGCAAUGGCCAGGGAGGCUCUAAUGUCAUCUGCUGACUUCCAGCUCAGGUUCCCCCAGAAGCAAGCCAGGGGCUCCAGCCUUUGACUUCUGUCUCUGAUUGUUCCUCUCAGAAGGCUUCCUGGAGGAAUGAGGCAUCAUAAGGGCUUAAAGGAUAAGACUGAGCCAGCGUGGACAUGAGGGUUUUAGAAGACUGCUAUGGCCAACUGAGAGCUGGAGCUAGAGGGCAGCCUGAAUCUGAGGAUGCAGUGAUAGGAAGAAACCCACUUGGCCCAUGGACCUGAGCUUGGCUGAGUCUCCCCUAAGGAGCAGCCCAUGGAAGGGAAGCUCCUUUGGGGUUUUGUUUCUCAGUGAGUUUCCAGCAACAAGCACCAUGCCUGGCACAGGGCAAAAGAGCAAUA